rnacentral:miRNA from 8 species
ACCAGUUACUUCUUGGAAUAUA